rnacentral:rRNA from 1 species
GACGAACGCUGGCGGCGUGCUUAACACAUGCAAGUCGAACGGAAAGGCCCUGCUUUUGUGGGGUGCUCGAGUGGCGAACGGGUGAGUAACACGUGAGUAACCUGCCCUUGACUUUGGGAUAGCUUCAGGAAACUGGGGCUAAUACCGGAUAGGAGCUCCUGCUGCAUGGUGGGGGUUGGAAAGUUUCGGCGGUUGGAGAUGGACUCGCGGCUUAUCAGCUUGUUGGUGGGGUAGUGGCUUACCAAGGCUUUGACGGGUAGCCGGCCUGAGAGGGUGACCGGCCACAUUGGGACUGAGAUACGGCCCAGACUCCUACGGGAGGCAGCAGUGGGGAAUAUUGCACAAUGGGCGGAAGCCUGAUGCAGCAACGCCGCGUGCGGGAUGACGGCCUUCGGGUUGUAAACCGCUUUCGCCUGUGACGAAGCGUGAGUGACGGUAAUGGGUAAAGAAGCACCGGCUAACUACGU